UACGUAGGGCGCAAGCGUUGUCCGGAAUUAUUGGGCGUAAAGAGCUCGUAGGCGGUUUGUCGCGUCUGCUGUGAAAUCCCGAGGCUCAACCUCGGGCUUGCAGUGGGUACGGGCAGACUAGAGUGUCGGAGGGGAUAGCGGAAUUGCUAAUGUAGAGGUGAAAUGCGCAGAUAUCGGGAGGAACACCGGUGGCGAAGGCGGUUCUCUGGGCCUUACCUGACGCUGAGGAGCGAAAGCGUGGGGAGCGAACAGG
rnacentral:rRNA from 1 species